CCAAAGGCUCUUUUCAGAGCCACUUCAUUUAACAAAGGAAAGGGCU
rfam:Dipodomys ordii contig_22832, whole genome shotgun sequence.